UACGUAGGGGGCAAGCGUUGUCCGGAAUUAUUGGGCGUAAAGAGCGCGUAGGCGGUCCGAUAAGUCGGCUGUGAAAGUCCAGGGCUCAACCCUGGAAAGCCGGCCGAUACUGUCGGACUAGAGUCCGGAAGAGGCGAGUGGAAUUCCCGGUGUAGCGGUGAAAUGCGCAGAUAUCGGGAGGAACACCUGUGGCGAAAGCGGCUCACUGGACCGCAACUGACGCUGAGGCGCGAAAGCUAGGGGAGCAAACAGG
rnacentral:rRNA from 1 species